AGGUGGUGAUGAGGACAAUUCCUUAACAAGCCCUUGUAAUGCUCCCAUGCCUCGUAUAAUGACUCUCCUGGUUAUUGCUCAAAGUUGGCUAUCGCCUUCUUGAGUUU